ensembl:piRNA 21ur-5041 ncRNA
UAUAGUAUGUUCCAGAGGUGG